UCAUCUUGCCUGAGCUCUACCUGGACC
rnacentral:piRNA from 1 species